AUCCAACUGACGAGUCCUAAAUAGGACGGAACGCGCGUCAACUGGAU
rnacentral:hammerhead_ribozyme from 1 species